UCCGUAACUCUUUAUCCGAGACCUAAAAGGCUCAUGACGCUCUUCGGAGUAGAUUGAGAAUCCAUGAUACUAUCGAGCCAAGAAAAGUUUCUAAGUUUAGUAAUAAUUGCCCGUACCGUAAACCGACACAGGUGGGUGGGAUGAGUAUUCUAAGGCGCGUGGAAGAACUCUCUUUAAGGAACUCUGCAAAAUAGCACCGUAUCUUCGGUAUAAGGUGUGCCUAACUUUGUAUUAAGAUUCACUCCCAAAGCAAAGAAGGUUACAACAAAGAGUCCCUCCCGACUGUUUACCAUAA
rnacentral:rRNA from 1 species